CCUACGGGGUGCUGCAGUGGGGAAUAUUGCGCAAUGGGCGAAAGCCUGACGCAGCGACGCCGCGUGAGGGAUGAAGGUCUUCGGAUCGUACACCUCUGUCAGCAGGGAAGAACGGUCACUGUGCUAAUCAGCAGUGAAUUGACGGUACCUGCAAAGGAAGCACCGGCUAACUCCGUGCCAGCAGCCGCGGUAAUACGGAGGGUGCGAGCGUUAAUCGGAAUUACUGGGCGUAAGGCGCUCGUAGGCGGUAUGUCAAGUCAAGGGUGAAAUCCCCGCGCUCAAGGUGGGAACUGCCUUUGAAACUGGCAAACUGGAGUGUGUGAGAGGAUAGAGGAAUUCCAGGUGUAGGAGUGAAAUCCGUAGAUAUCUGGAGGAACAUCAGUGGCGAAGGCGACUAUCUGGCACAUAACUGACGCUGAGGAGCGAAAGCGUGGGUAGCAAACAGGAUUAGAUACCCCAGUAGUC
rnacentral:rRNA from 1 species